GAUGAAGAACGUAGCGAAAUGCGAUAAGUAAUGUGAAUUGCAGAAUUCAGUGAGUCAUCGAAUCUUUGAACGCACAUUGCGCCCAUUAGUAUUCUAGUGGGCAUGCCUGUUCGAGCGUCAUUUCAACCCUUAAGCCUCUGUUGCUUAGCGUUGGGAGCCUACCUACCCGGUAGAUCCUCAAAGUUAGCUGGCAGGGUCGAGGUUCGCCCUAAGCGUAGUAGUUCUUUCUCGCUUCUGCGGCUGCCUAGGCCAUCGCCACAAGCCUUUUAAACUUCAAUGGUUGACCUCGGAUCAGGUAGGAAUACCCGCUGAACUUAAGCAUAUCAAUAAGCGGAGGA
rnacentral:misc_RNA from 1 species